CCACCCAACAUGAACACUCUCUCUUCUCAUGCUUCCUUUCUCUUGUCUUGUCUUUUUCACCUCCUCAAACUCAUCUCCCAAUGCCAUGCCUUGAUAACCAGAGAUCUCCUCUGCUGCAAUUGCAAUAUCAUCUUUACUAAGCCCCUAAUUUUACUUUAUCUUCCAAAUUCAAGCUUUGGGAUCCUAUCACUGAUUGUUGCUCUUGGGAAGGAGUCACUUGUGAUGCUUAUGGUCAUGUCAUUGGUCUUGAUCCUAGUUACAAAAAUCUUUCAGGCAGCUUUCACCCCAUAUUCAAUCUCCAUCGUCUUCAGUGCCUUAAUCUUGCUGGGAACAACAUUAAUACCACACUGUUUCCAUAUGGGUUUGAUAAACUCCAAAAUCUAACUCAUCUCAACCUUUCAAGCUCAUGUUUCCACGGCCAAAUUCCAAUGAAGAUCUCACACUUAAGAAGAGUUUGAAGGCAAUGGCAAAGAUGACUAAUGACGAAAAGGCUAAGCUGGAUUAUAUAGGAGAGAAUUAUUAUCAAGACUCUGUGACAAUUGUUAACAAAGGGAUUGAAAUGUUCUACCAAAAAGUCUUGACAAUUCUUACUUGUCUUGACCUUUUGUUCAAAAGUGGCAACUACAGCAGCAACAUGUAUGCUACCAUGCAAUCAUGCACGAGCAUACAAGUGACCAAGCAGUCCAGCUGAGGGAUUGAAAUGUCCAUGGUGUAAUUCGGUUGAAGAACUAUUUUUGUAAUAAUUGACUUUUAUUAGUUUGUUUGUUAUCCUUUUAUGUAAUGUUCAGCUAAGAUUAAUCAUAUUCUUAGCUGAUUUAGUAGUCAUCUUAGGUUGUCAUUAUAUUGAUUUUACAGCUUAGCUACUUGCACAAGCAAGCCUUGUUUUCUUUCAAUGUAAUCUAUCUAUUUAUGUAUCAUGAAAUUUUACUUUUCAAGUAACAA